rnacentral:rRNA from 1 species
GACGAACGCUGGCGGCGUGCUUAACACAUGCAAGUCGAACGCUGAACCCGCUUCGGUGGGGGAUGAGUGGCGAACGGGUGAGUAACACGUGGGCAACCUGCCCCCGGCUCUGGGAUAACUCCAAGAAAUUGGGGCUAAUACCGGAUGUGACCGCCGGCCGCAUGGUCUGGUGGUGGAAAGGGUUUCCGGCUGGGGAUGGGCCCGCGGCCUAUCAGCUUGUUGGUGGGGUAGUGGCCUACCAAGGCGACGACGGGUAGCCGGCCUGAGAGGGUGACCGGCCACACUGGGACUGAGACACGGCCCAGACUCCUACGGGAGGCAGCAGUGGGGAAUAUUGCGCAAUGGGCGGAAGCCUGACGCAGCGACGCCGCGUGGGGGAUGACGGCCUUCGGGUUGUAAACCUCUUUCAGCAGGGACGAAGCGCAAGUGACGGUACCUGCAGAAGAAGCACCGGCCAACUACGUG